GUAUCUACCUCUUGCGCUACACCUGUUAUUUCUACAUGUGCUAUGCCUGUUACAUCUUCAGCUGUUACAUCAAUUCCAUCUGCACCACCUUCAAAUAGUAACUUUAUGAAUCUGGAAUGUGUCGGAUUGAUUAUUGAGUUCUUUUUAUUCCUAUUUACAUAAUCUAUUUAAUACUUUUGUGUUUUGUUAUCUCUCCAAGUGCUAUAAAAAGAGAAUCAAAAACCGCAA
rnacentral:lncRNA from 1 species